rnacentral:rRNA from 1 species
UCAGUAACACGUAGUCAACCUGCCCUCGGGUCGAGGAUAAUCUCGGGAAACUGAGGCUAAUACUCGAUAGUUCAAGAUUCCUGGAAUGGGUUUUGGUCGAAAUGAGGUAACGACAUCUCUGUUAUUUUCGCCCAAGGAUGGGACUGCGGCCGAUCAGGCUGUUGGUGGGGUAAAGGCCCACCAAACCAGUAACCGGUACGGGCUUUGAGAGAAGGAGCCCGGAGAUGGACACUGAGACAAGGGUCCAGGUCCUACGGGGCGCAGCAGGCGCGAAACCUUCGCAAUGCGCGCAAGCGCGACGAGGUUAUUCCGAGUGAUUUCCGCUGAGGAAGUCUUUUCUCAGAUCUAAAACGUCUGGGGAAUAAGGGGAGGGCAAGUCUGGUGCCA